GGUUAUUCGGAUUAAAAGGGAAUCGGGUGUAAAUCCCGAACAGUCCCGCUGCUGUGAAGCUCCAUUCAAUAUCCUGAAACACACUUUUGCCACUGGUCGUAUACAGACCGGGAAGGCUUCGGGAGAGGAGUUAGUCAGAAGACCUGCCAUUCAUCAA
rnacentral:ncRNA from 1 species